GACGAACCGUCCAAACGUUAUUCGGAAUUACUGGGCUUAAAGGGUGCGUAGGCGGCUCUGCAAGUUGGGUGUGAAAUCCCUCGGCUCAACCGAGGAAUGGCGCCCAAAACUGUGGAGCUCGAGGGAGACAGAGGUGAGUGGAACUUGCGGUGGAGCGGUGAAAUGCUUUGAUAUCGCAAGGAACACCGGCGGCGAAGGCGGCUUACUGGGCUUCAACUGACGCUUAAGCGUGAAAGCUAGGGUAGCGAACGGGAUUAGAUACCCCGGUAGUCCCUGAGCGGG
rnacentral:rRNA from 1 species